rnacentral:lncRNA from 1 species
CUCGCUGUAUAUAUAUUUGCCCGCUGUUGGCCCUUUGGUUUGGUAGCUGGACAUGCCCGCGUAAAUAUCCCAAGCAUGACACCCAAGUCUAGCAUCCCAAGCUUGCAUCCGUAACAAAUCAAGAACACACAUCUAGAAGUAAAUAUCACCAAAUGGUACAAAAAAGUACCUGAUUUGCUUUGCUUCCUCUAGCUAUCUUGGGAUCGAAAUUGAGACUUCUAAUGUGGUGCUGCACUCCUUGCUUCUUUGUGCCGUGGUGGACGGUUAGGGAGGGAAGCAUUUUUAUUGAACAUGGUCAGAUACAGAUUCAGAUAGCAUUAUUUUUCAUAGAUUAACUCGAAUACAAGU